AGCGAACGUUUGCGGCGGGCUUAACACAUGCAAGUCGAACGAGAAUCCCUUCGGGGAGGAAAGUGGCGCACGGGUGCGUAACACGUGGAUAACCAACCCAUUGGUUUGGGACAACACCGGGAAACUGGUGCUAAUACCAGAUGUGUCGCAGCUGUCUUCAGGCGGUUGCGAGAAAGGCCCGCAAGGGUCGCCAACGGACGGGUCCGCGUCCCAUCAGCUAGUUGGUGAGGUAAUGGCUCACCAAGGCAAAGACGGGUAGCUGGUCUGAGAGGAUGAUCAGCCACACUGGAACUGAGACACGGUCCAGACUCCUACGGGAGGCAGCAGUGGGGAAUAUUGCGCAAUGGGCGAAAGCCUGACGCAGCCACGCCGCGUGAGCGAUGAAGGUCUUCGGAUCGUAAAGCUCUGUGGGGGGAGAAGAAGAAAGCCGGUGAAGAGCCGGCCC
rnacentral:rRNA from 1 species